UGAUGCAAUAAAAUGCGAGUCGCAUGCAUGAAGUAUUUUAACAUUAAUUGUUGGUUAUUUACGUUCAUUUCACUAAAAUAAAGUGCAUUUAAGAUAUAUUUCUGACCAAAAAUAAUAAGUGAAUUGUUGAAAGCUGGUAGGUAUACUGGAUAUAUUUACACUUUCAUUGUUGUGGUGCAUGUCUUUUGGUUUAAAUUCAGGGCAUCAAAUUCUUGAAGUUGUAGGAAUAAGUGUGACAUUCAUGAAUAUCUAAUUACUUUAUAAUUUAAGGACUGAACUUCUUCAGACAUUUUCAGAGUUUAUUCAUUAAAAAAUAUAUUGUAGUACAUACAAUACUUAAAUUACAUUUUAUAUGUAAGUUAUUGUUACGUGCUAGAAUAAAGAAGUCUUUUGAUUAA